AGUGAACGCUGGCGGUAGGCCUAACACAUGCAAGUCGAACGGCAGCACAGUACGUGCUUGCUCUUACGGGUGGCGACUGGCGGAUGGGUCAGAAAAACAUCCGUAUCUACUUUUUCUAGGGGCCUAAAGCGGGGACUCUUACCCCAUUCCUCCUUAGGGCGAACGGGGGGAAUCAUGGGACCUCCCGCCAUUAGAUGAUCGAAUGACCCGAUGUCGGAUUAGCUAGUUGGCGGGGUAAAGGCCCACCAAGGCGACGAUCCGUAGCUGGUCUGAGAGGAUGAUCAGCCACACUGGAACUGAGACACGGUCCAGACUCCUACGGGAGGCAGCAGUGGGGAAUAUUGGACAAUGGGCGCAAGCCUGAUCCAGCCAUACCGCGUGUGUGAAGAAGGUCUUCGGGUUGUAAAGCCCUUUUGUUUGGGAAGAAAAGCAGCAGGUUAAUACCCCGCUGUUCUGACGUUACCCAAAGAAUAAGCACCGGCUAACUUCGUG
rnacentral:rRNA from 1 species